AGUUCGGACUGCAGUCUGCAACUCGACUGCACGAAGCUGGAAUCGCUAGUAAUCGCAGAUCAGAAUGCUGCGGUGAAUACGUUCCCGGGUCUUGUACACACCGCCCGUCACACCAUGGGAGUCAGUAGCGCCCGAAGUCAGUGACCUAACCGCAAGGGAGGAGCUGCCGAAGGCGGGACCGAUAACUGGGGUGAAGUCGUAACAAGGUACC
rnacentral:rRNA from 1 species